AGACCUCGAACUAAAAAUUGAAAGGAAUAGAAUACUGAGAUCGAAGCCCUUAGAGGUCGGCCUCAGUAAUGGAUGAUUCCUCUCCCCCAGGCCUGAAAGAACUUCAACACCUAGAUGAGGAGACACAUGCGGUAGUGCUCCGAGGACCCACCUUAGACUCAGCCUGGGGAGAAAGCGGUCGAGAACUCCAAUCAUCUUGACUUUCACCCCGAUCCUCUCUAACGGAAGACAUUGCAAAGGAAAGGUCGAAAAGGAGAGGAAAAGAGGACAAGCUGACAUGAAGAAGAAGGUAAGAAAAUGAACCGAAAGACUCUGGAUGAAUAAGCUUCUAGAAAAACUAGAAUACUUGUUGGAGUUAGAGGAGAACGCACGACAGCAGGAUUGGAAUGCAGAAAACAACUGGCAACCAAGAAAGUAGGCACAAUCGAGGGGCAAGCCUGUGUAAACUAUGCUCCAACAACCUCGAUUGAAAUCCCAAUCUACAAGAUUUCUGCCAUGUAUCUCCAAUCCAGGCUGUCCAACCCCA
rnacentral:lncRNA from 1 species